rnacentral:siRNA from 1 species
UGGGGAUGCUCUAAGAUUUUUACC